rnacentral:rRNA from 1 species
UUUAUUGAAACUGGUAUGAACGGUUUAACAAAAAAUUUUUUUUUAUAAUAUUUUAUUAUAAUUUAUAGUUCGUGUAAGAAUACAAGAAUUAAUAAAAGGGACGAUAAGACCCUAAAAGCUUUACGUUUAAGUUAUUUAUAUUUGUUGUUUUUAUUUUAUUAAAAUGUUAUUGUUUGGUUGGGGUAAUAGUUUUUAUAUACAAAAAUUUUUAUGAACAUAAAGGUUAUAAGGUCCUUUAUAUAAGGAAAAAUUGUUUUAGUUACUUUAGGGAUAACAGCGUAAUAGAAUUAGUAAGAUCUUAUUUAUAAUUCUGAUUGUGACCUCGAUGUUGAAUUAAUCUUCUUUGUGAAGCAAAAAUUACAUAUGAAAGUUUGUUCAACUUUUAAUUAUUUACAUGAUCUGAGUUCAAA